rnacentral:rRNA from 1 species
UACGUAGGGUCCGAGCGUUGUCCGGAAUUAUUGGGCGUAAAGGGCUCGUAGGCGGUUUGUCACGUCGGGAGUGAAAACUCAGGGCUCAACCCUGAGCGUGCUUCCGAUACGGGCAGACUAGAGGUAUGCAGGGGAGAACGGAAUUCCUGGUGUAGCGGUGGAAUGCGCAGAUAUCAGGAGGAACACCGAUGGCGAAGGCAGGUCUCUGGGCAUUAACUGACGCUGAGGAGCGAAAGCAUGGGGAGCGAACAGG